GUUGAUUUCAUACUAAUUAAGCUUGAGUAGAGGAGAAGAAAAUGGUUUGCUUAGAAACAAACAUUCAUUUCCUAGGAGAGAUAACAAAAUGGGAACAAACUAAACAAAAGAAAUUGUACAGCUGUUGGAAUUAUUUGUGCAUCACCAAAUAAAAAAUAGCACUGCUCUACCAAGGUCCCCACUCACCCAACACUGGCAAAAAAUGACAAGCUCAUUUGGGCUAAAUAAUUCAAAAUGAUUGAACCAUCUCCCGAAAAAAGAAAACAAAAACUGACUAUAUUGUGGAUAAUUCUGCACAAUGGCAGAGUUGGCUUAAUGGCAUGCUCUGUUUUCUGGAGGGAUUCCAUGCCAAACUGAUCAGAAGAGGCCG
rnacentral:misc_RNA from 1 species